UAGGGAAUCUUCCGCAAUGGACGCAAGUCUGACGGAGCAACGCCGCGUGAGUGAAGAAGGAUUUCGGUUCGUAAAACUCUGUUGUUAGAGAAGAACAGCGCAUAGAGUAACUGUUAUGCGUGUGACGGUAUCUAACCAGAAAGCCACGGCUAACUACGUGCCAGCAGCCGCGGUAAUACGUAGGUGGCAAGCGUUGUCCGGAUUUAUUGGGCGUAAAGCGAGCGCAGGCGGUCAAUUAAGUCUGAUGUGAAAGCCCCCGGCUCAACCGGGGAGGGUCAUUGGCAACUGGUUGACUUUAGUGCAGAAGAGGAGAGUGGAAUUCCAUGUGUAGCGGUGAAAUGCGUAGAUAUAUGGAGGAACACCAGUGGCGAAGGCGACUCUCUGGUCUGUAACUGACGCUGUGGCUCGAAAGCGUGGGUAGCAAACAGG
rnacentral:rRNA from 1 species